rnacentral:tRNA from 1 species
GGGCCAGUGGCGCAAUGGUUAGCGCAGGGAGCUUAUACCUCCAAGGUUUUGUAGGUUCGAGUCCUACCUGGCCCA